UGGGGAAUAUUUCGCAAUGGGGGAAACCCUGACGCAGCGACGCCGCGUGCGGGAUGAAGGCCUUCGGGUUGUAAACCGCUUUUGAUUGGGAGCAAGCUUUCGGGUGAGUGUACCUUUCGAAUAAGCGCCGGCUAACUACGUGCCAGCAGCCGCGGUAAUACGUAGGGCGCAAGCGUUAUCCGGAAUUAUUGGGCGUAAAGAGCUUGUAGGCGGUUCGUCGCGUCUGGUGUGAAAGCCCAUCGCUUAACGGUGGGUUUGCGCCGGGUACGGGCGGGCUAGAGUGCAGUAGGGGAGACUGGAAUUCCCGGUGUAACGGUGGAAUGUGUAGAUAUCGGGAAGAACACCAAUGGCGAAGGAAGGUCUCUGGGCUGUUACUGACGCUGAGAAGCGAAAGCGUGGGGAGCGAACAGG
rnacentral:rRNA from 1 species